GCUUACGGCCAUACCACGCUGAGCGCGCCCGAUCUCGUCUGAUCUCGGAAGCUAAGCAGGGUCGGGCCUGGUUAGUACUUGGAUGGGAGACCGCCUGGGAAUACCAGGUGCUGUAAGCU
rnacentral:rRNA from 1 species